UAGAGGUUAUAGCUCUUUUGCUACUUGUCCAGAAGGUUCUGGCUCUUUCAGCUAGAAAUGCCCCU